rnacentral:pre_miRNA from 13 species
CCGUAUUACUGUUUUUAGUGGGUGAGGGUCCAGUGUUUCACAUUGUUUAUUUGUAUUUGUGACUAGAUCCACACUCAUUAAAAACGGUAGUUC